UCUGAGGUGCCGGUUAAAAGCGCAGGCUCCUGGGCCUGGCCCCAGACCCACUGAAUGAGAAGCUCCGCGGUGGGGCCCGGGGAUCUGCAUUUUUAGCCAGCCUCUGGGCUGAUUCUGAUAUACGCUCCUUUGACACCUCGCCUGCCCCGGGGGUCAGGGGGGAGGGCGGUGGUUGGUGGUGUUCAAAGCCAGAAACUACGUGCAAGGUUGUGUGUUGUGUGCGUGCCCUUUAUGGAGAGAGUCCGUCUGGUGCUUCCAGCAGUCUUUUAAAGGGUCUGGACCAUCAGGGUGUCAAGAAUUGCUGUCUUCUCUUGUUCUUACUCUCACACCUCCGCAGAAGGUUCUUCGUGGUCAUCCCGUGCAAAAAAAAGCAGAGGCGUGCCUGCAGGGAGGUCCCACUGCACAGUCCUGCUGGCCCCCUCCCUCUGCCAGGCCUGACACAUAAGGGAUCAGACCCCCUGAAGUCUGAUGCUGCUUGGGAAGCCAACCAGGGCCCUGCAAGAGAGAAGGCUAAGGCAUUCGGGGGACCUUCCCUGGCACAGGGCACAGAGCAUGCUGGGAGGCGGUGGUGGCUGUCCUGGUGUCAUCUGUCGGGCUGCAGGAGGACUAGCAGUGGUGUGUGCUUGCCCCUGACCCAGGCACUUGCUGCUGCUUUCGUGGAGAGGGCAGGGUGAGCCACAGGGAUAGAAGUCAUAGAGAGCUGGAGCCCAGCACACACUGCGCCCCGGGCAUCAGGCAAGCCCUCAGCUCCUUCCUCUGUCCAGUUGAGGUGUUUGUGCCACCAACCCCGAGGACCUGGAGGAUGAGGCCUUGUAUCUCCAACAGCAGGCUUCUCUUUCCUGUGGACGUCCGGCUCCCAAAAUCCCAUCCUCCCGGCAGAGAGCACUCAGUCUUCCUGGAAGCUGGCUUCACAGGCCUGGGAGCAACACCUUCCCAACUUGCCUGGACCCUUUGUGUGUAGAAUACAGCUGUGGGCAUCUCCAAAGAGCCCAGGCUGGGAAACACGUGGAUACCUGCAGGACUGCCAGAGAGACACAGCGAGAGAGAGAACACAAGCAGGGGGAGCGG